AAGUCGUAACAAGGUCUCCGUUGGUGAACCAGCGGAGGGAUCAUUACAGAGUUAUCUAACUCCCAAACCCAUGUGAACUUACCAUUGUUGCCUCGGCAGAACCUACCCGGUACCUACCCUGUCAACGAACCUACCCUGUAGCCGAGUUGCCCGGGAAGACCUACCCUUGCGAUACGUGCCGCUGCCGGUGGCAGGCUUCUUUAACUUACUUUGUUAUUUUAUAGUAAUCUGAGCGUCUUAUUUUAAUAAGUCAAAA
rnacentral:misc_RNA from 1 species